AUGUCUUCAUCUUCUUCACCUCCUGAUUUGGAUGUCAAAGUAAAAGAAAUCUCAAUACCAGCCAUGACUUUAAGGAGCCCUUGCACCACAGCAGCCAAGUGAGCACUGGUGCCAGAAAUGAGCCAAAACUGUUCAUUCCUCCACCAUUGCUCCAACUCGACGCCUGACCAUUUAACCUCAAGAAGGGCAAGCAGGAUUAAGCAUACAGUGAUGGUGAGCAAGUAGAUUAAGAAGGCUAUGCUGAGAGUUUGGACAAUGAAGAAACCGGAGAACAAGGAGAGCGCAGGGAGGAAGCAAUAGACGACGAGGAAGAUGGAGGUGAAGGGGUAGAUGCCAACGUUGAGGUAAGCAAGACGUUGGAGAAUUUUAAGGCGCUUACUAGCAAGGAAUGCGUUGUUCUUUGAGAAGAAGAUUUCAACAGAACCUGUGGCCCAUCGUAAGACCUGGUGCAAUCGAUCUGUGAGGUUAAUUGGAGCUGAUCCACGAAAUGCAUCUCUCUUGGUUAUGCAAUACACAGAACGCCAGCCACGGUUAUGCAUGCGAUACCCUGUCACCACAUCUUCUGUCACUGAACCAUAAAUCCAUCCCACUCUAUCUCCCCAUUCAGUCUUGUCUUCAUACCUGCAUUACAAUAAUAUUCAAGGUAUCACCAAGUACAAUGAAGAAAUAAAAAGAGUGACUUAAAAGGGAAAGGAGAAAAUGCAAUGAUGUUUCUUUCACACAUUUUUUACCAUUUCACGUUCGUGAUAUAUGAGGAAAAGAGAGAAAAAAGAGUAAUAUGAUAAGUGAUGUGACAGGAAUUGCAGAGAGAAAUAUAAGAAGAAGAAAUAGUAAAAAUGAGAUAGAAGAGAAAGAGGAGUGUGAGUGAAUCAAUUCUCAAGAAAGUGAAAUCAUAUUCAUAAUCAAACGCACCAGCAGGAAAUGACAGAGACUGCUUCAGCCACAGUGCUGGCAUCGAGCGGUUCGCGAGGUUCCCUAAGAACACCAGGUGGGCGUCCAUACUUGACUGCAGGAUGAUCAGCAAGAGGACGACCUUGGUACUCAGACACAGGUAUGCUCUCAGACAACAUGGUUGAAUUACCAAACCGCUUAGGAAGUAGGUUCAUGUCUAGAUCUGGAUCAAACUCGCUAGCAUUCAACGCAGGUCUAUCAGAGGCUGCUUCACUACUCUCUUUAGGAUUUUUUUUCGUCUCCUUCUCAUCUAUUAACGGAGGGUCGAAGCCGUACAAUGCAAACCUCCUGAACAUGCAUCCCGUUCCCACGUAGACUGGACCUUGGACACCGUCAAGAGCUCGCAUGUUCCCAUCGAAGAACACGGUGUUGUGAUUCGCGUACCUACCAUAACGGAACCAGAACAAAUAGGAACUGAGUGAAAAUUUAAUACACCCUAAGCAAAUUUAGAAUAAUGAUUAAAUGAAAGAAAAAUAAACAUUAUAAUACCUGUCUGAGGGAUCAAUGCCUUCAAAUCUUUGUGGGAACUGAAUGUAACAUAUGUCCUCGCCACCUCUGUCCAUCAUGAAGCACAUUCCUUCUCGUAUUGCCCUGCAGUUGUAGAUGUAGUGAUCACAGUCUAGGUUGAGAAUGAAUGGCCCGUUUGAUAGAAUAGCAGAUGCUCGAACAAGUGCAUUCAUUGCACCUGCUUUCUUGUUAUGAUCAUAACCUGGUCGCUUUUCUCGGGACACAUAUGCAAACAUUGGCAGGCGUGUAUCAACCUCUGUGAAGUCUAUAAUCUUGUCUUCCGCCCUCCCCAAUAACGGAUCAGGACUUGGCGGCUUUAGCAUCACCUAUACAUGCAUGCAUACAUUUUUUUUAUCAGCCAAAUAUAUUGAUUGGUACAAGGGGUACCAAACUGAAAAAGUUACAAGGAAUCAAUCCAGACUAGUGGAUCCAUAGUCCACUCGAAGAUGGAUGGAAAAACUAGCACGUUUCACUAUAGCUUUAAGCCAAACUUAAAUCUUAUAUAGGAUCACAUCAAUGACCCUAGAAAUGUCUACCACCCCACCCUUAGGCAUUGUUCCUCCAGUAUCAAAUGAAACUAACUGUUGCUACCCUCACAAGUCUUAAAGCUGAAUUAAGUUUCCUAUUUCCUAUUUUCUGUACGGAGUGUUGAAGUGAGUCAUACCAUCAUUCGGGAGUACUACAGAUAAACCUAGACAUUCCAUCAUAUCAUAUAUUUACUUUGGUUUUUAUAAAAAACAAUACACAUAUCAUGCAUAUACCUGAAGAAUUCCCGCAUGGUCACCUUUGGCAUGUUCACUAGAAGGAGAAGCCCAUGUUCCAGGCCAAUGGGUGCCAUCAGCCAUCCAAGUUGCCUUCAAUACUUUGAUAGGCUCAGAAGGGUCAGCCCCUUUCUCCUUGAGAUGCUUCAUCAUCUUCAUUUCCUCUCUUGCAUUAAAUGCAUCAGAUCUUCUCCUUAUGGAAUCCGGAAGGCCAUUGAUGCGCACUUUGAACUCAUCAUACUCCCUCUUCACCCUUCUCCUGUCCUUGACAAAAUCUGUUCUGCUUUUGUUCUUGGUGGGAUCAACUUUCAAGCUGAAGUAACUCUCCGGAUUCCUCGGCUCAAUGUUGUGUUUUCGACAAAAGGGAACCCAUAAGUUAGCAAAGCUCGCAGCCUCAGCCAUGGCUUCGAAAGUCAAGAGAGCACCUCCAUCAUCAGAAACGUAACACGCCAGUUUCUCCACCGGGUAAUCAACUGCUAGUAUAGAAAGAAUGGUAUUGGCAGUGACUAGAGGUGGCUCCUUCUCCGGAUCCGCGGUGGACACGAAGAGGUCGACGCCGGGUAGAUCUGAUCGCCCUGUGGGAUUGUCUGGAGACGGACUAUCGAAUUUCUCGUGAAGGACGGAUAGAUCAGUGGUACGGUUGAUAGGACAAAGCUUGGGAACUUGAUCAAGUAGCCAUGAGAAGGCAAACCAUAUCUCACAAGUAACUGACAUGAGCCACAACCAUAUUGCAUCUUCAUUUGGAUGUGCCACUCUCCAGUGUAAAAAGAAGCACAACACAACGAAGCGAAUUACAAUAAGCAUCCUACAAAUAAUUGCACAAAAAAUACAAUAAUUAGGCAUUCAUUGGAGUAAUUAUCAGCAUAAGGAAAUUAAGACAAUGUAUUUGUGUAACCUGUAAGGACUCAUGAUGCGGGAUUCAAUUGGCAUUUUUCGGCUUAAAGGCUUCCAAGGCUUCUCCAAUAAACUAAAUGCUUCUCCUUUAAGGUCAUCAUCACAAUCAUCAUCCUCGGGCCAAAUAGCAGUACCAUGCCCGUAAUCAAGUGGGCUCUCAAACAACCACUUCUGGUGAUCAAAUUCUCCAUUUUGAUUUCGUUUCAUAACAGACAUGUUGUUUGGAUUCUGCUUAGAGCCAUUUGGUGCAGGUAAUGGCAAUGCCCCACUAGCAUAAUCUGGGGUAUCUUCAGUAUCAUCCUCAUACUCCCCUACUUUGUAUGGCUCCUUGCAACCUGGGCAUAGACCUGUUUCUUUUUGCGCAUCUAAAAAGCAAUCUCUACAAAUCUUGUACCUGAAUUGGAAUAAUUACUUUAUAACUAAUUUAGUUCGAAUUAAUUUUGAAAAUUAAGAAAUGAUUCUGCGCACAUGCACAAAUGUACAUACAUACAUACAUAAAUACAUACCUACACUCACAUGGAGUCACGUCAUGUCCCCUCUCAUCCGUCAUGACCUUGCCAUCACAGAUUGAACAAGCAGAGCCUUUGGCGCCUGCCAUUUGAGGAUGUCUGACUUCUGAGUCGAUCACCUUGUCCAUUAGAUGGGCUCUGGUUACACUGUUGAAUCCGCCGGUAAAUAAGGAAUUUGAAACAUAUUGUUCUUCAGCUUUCAUAGCAACAGAUGAGUCCGGCGUCGGUUGAUUAUCUGGGGUAGAGGGAAUAUGAACAGUGUAGUUCAUGUAGUCCCCUGACAACUCUGAUGACAUUUCAAUGUCAUCUCUAGACAAACUCACAUAUCUCCCACUUGAUGUUCGUCUCGCAAACUUUAUAGUAGGUCCGCCAGAGGAGUUAUUUCGUGCUCCUCCUUGAGAACUACCUGCUCCUCCUGAUCCUCCUCCAGAAUUACGUAGAGACUUCUUGGAAGGUUGGUUGUUCAAUGAAGACGCCAUUGGUUCUUAUGAAGAAUGAGUUUAACUCUGCCAAAGCCAGAUUGUAAAACCCAUAGCUACAAUGAAGAAUGAAAAUGCAAGUUCAAAUUAUUCAUGGUAGGAGAACAAAUGGACGUGGUUAGAGGGAAGAAUUUUGAUUGACAAUGGGAGAUUUGUCAGAAUACAGAAAGUUGGCGGAAAAGAAGAUGGAUUUACGGUGAGAGACCAAGUCCAUCCUAUUAUGCUAUUUUUGAGGUUCUCAUUUCCAGUUUUCUAGGAGAGUGUUUGUGACACAAAUGUAACGUUAAAUAUAUGCAUGCAUUUAUGAAUAAUAUAUUCGUACAUUUAGCUUAAUUUUCAUCUCAUGAUUCCAACAGCCUCAUUCUAAUAAAUAAACUAUUUUUAACAUUAACCAAUAUUUAUGUUCAGUUUUUACAUAAGAAUUUAUAUGAUAGACUUCACAUUGUAGAGCAAAGUAGUGUGUAUAGUCAUUGCCAUGCAAGUUUAUGCAUCUCUGAUGUAUUUCUUGCGUGAAAGACUGAUUAUGCAAUUCACUUUUUGGAAGUUUAAAAUGAAUUGAGCAAAAUGUUUUAUAGGGUUUUCUGAUUAAUAAUUAAUUCCCCUUUUGAUUGUAGUCCUAUUAUACCAACUACCAACACAUGAAAUAUGUAAAGUGAGAUCUUUUACUUACGGGUUGUCUAAAUGACCCAUCAGAAAGUUUGGGUUAAUAACUCAUCGUCCAAUAACAUUGAAGAUAAGUGAGUUGAAAUUUUUAUAUUUUAUUUAUUCAUUUAUUUAAAAAAAAUUCUAUUGGUCUAUUGAGUUGUGAGUUAGUAACCCACAUGGAUCAUUUAGACAACCCCUUUAAUUACACCAUCUAUUUCUUAAUAGAAACAUCAACCAAAUAAAAGCAACUCUCUGAGCAUGCUCACCCCUCAUUUAAAUGUAAACAUCUAAAUUCUAAGAGUUACACGAUAAAAAAGUUUACAAAGAGAUAUUAGUGUCACAUACAUAUAUUAAGGUGAAUGAAAUGGAUGCUUUCAUUGAUUUCAUGGGAAUUGGAAAUCUCCUCCAACACCUUGUCCUUCAGCGCCUUUGGGUGGGCUGAUAGCAAUCCCAAGCAGAGAAAGCGUGAUUGCAAUGAGACCUGACCAGACAAACACAAUGGUGGGUGCUUUCCCUCUCUUCCCCAUCAACCCUUUCACGAACGGAUACAAAUGAGCAAGCACCCAGAAACUGAAGAACGCUCCUCCAAUGAACUUGCUCCACUGCGGAUUCGCGCUGUAAAUGGUCCUUGAAAACGCAACCGCGAUGCCAAUGACGUUCAUCAUGGCAAUAACAAUCGGCGGAAUCAUCAAUGAGCUCCACUUGACAAUAUACAGAUCUGCAAACAUAUCUUCCUCUUCUUCCCCUCCUGAUUUGGACGUCAGAGUAAAAGAAAUCUCAAUCCCAGCCAUGACUUUAAGGAGCCCUUGCACCACAGCAGCCAAGUGAGCACUGGUGCCAGAAAUGAGCCAAAACUGUUCAUUCCUCCACCAUUGCUCCAACUCGACGCCAGACCAUUUAACCUCAAGAAUGGCGAGCAGGAUUAAGCAUACAGUGAUGGUGAGCAAGUAGAUUAAGAAGGCUAUGCUGAGAGUUUGGACAAUGAAGAAACCGGAGAACAAGGAGAGCACAGGGAGGAAGCAAUAGACAACGAGGAAGAUGGAGGUGAAGGGGUAGAUGGCAACGUUGAGGUAAGCAAGACGUUGGAGAAUUUUGAGGCGCUUACUAGCAAGGAAUGCGUUGUUCUUUGAGAAGAAGAUUUCAACAGAACCUGUGGCCCAUCGUAAGAUCUGGUGCAAUCGAUCUGUGAGGUUAAUUGGAGCUGAUCCACGAAAUGCAUCUCUCUUGGUUAUGCAAUACACAGAACGCCAGCCACGGUUAUGCAUGUG
rnacentral:lncRNA from 1 species